AGCGAACGCUGGCGGCAGGCUUAACACAUGCAAGUCGAACGGGCACUUCGGUGUCAGUGGCAGACGGGAGAGUAACACGUGGGAACGUGCCCUUUGGUUCGGAACAACUCAGGGAAACUUGGGCUAAUACCGGAUAAGUCCGUAAGGAGAAAGAUUUAUCGCCAAAGGAUCGGCCCGCGUCUGAUUAGCUAGUUGGUGAAGUAACGGCUCACCAAGGCGACGAUCAGUAGCUGGUCUGAGAGGAUGAUCAGCCUCACUGGGACUGAGACACGGCCCAGACUCCUACGGGAGGCAGCAGUGGGGAAUCUUGGACAAUGGGCGCAAGCCUGAUCCAGCCAUGCCGCGUGGGUGAUGAAGGCCCUAGGGUUGUAAAGCCCUUUCGGCGGGGAAGAUAAUGACGGUACCCGCAGAAGAAGCCCCGGCUAACUUCGUGCCAGCCGCCGCCGUAAG
rnacentral:rRNA from 1 species